GAUGAACGCUGGCGGCGUGCCUAAUACAUGCAAGUCGAGCGAACAGACGAGGAGAUUGUGCCCCUGACGUUAGCGGCGGACGGGCGAGUAAGACGUGGAUAACCUACCUAUAAGACUUGGAUAACUUCGUGAAACCGCAUCCAAUACCGGCUAAUAUAAUGAACGGCAUGAAGCAAUAGUUAAAGACGGUUUGCGCGACACUAAGAGAUGGUGCCGCGCCGGAUUAGCUAGUUGGUAAGGUAACGGCUUACCAAGGCGACGAUGCGUAGCCGACCUGAGAGGGUGAUCAGCCACACUGGAACUGAGACACGGUCCAGACUCCUACGGGAGGCAGCAGUGGGGAAUCUUCCGCAAUGGGCGAAAGCCUGACGGAGCAACGCCGCGUGAGUGAUGAAGGUCUUCGGGUCGUAAAACUCUGUUAUUAGGGAAGAAAAAAUGUGUAAGAAACUAUGCACGUCUUGACGGUACCUAAUCAGAAAGCCACGGCUAACUACGUG
rnacentral:rRNA from 1 species